rnacentral:lncRNA from 1 species
UGAUGACUCAGCAGGGCACGUUAGAGAGGCUAGUAGCAGGGGAGGUAUUUGCUGUAAUCAGAUUCUUUCUUUGGCUAUUUGGCUAUUAAUAUCAACAAAGAAACACCCAUUCAUCUCUCUCAGUUUGUUUUUGUCUAUAAACUGUUUCUUACUCUACCAAAGUGGUCCGACUUGCCGGCGUUAGUCCAUGCCGAGGACCAGAAUGGAGUCGCGUGAGUCGAUCAGGUGGAGAGGCACACGACAGCCUGGAAGAUGCUUUUGAAUCAUUUCGGCUGGAACAAGCUGCUUAUUGUUCCAAACAAGACCAACGUUUCACCAAAUUGGAAUCUCUCGUAACUUCCUUCAUUUGGGUAAGUCUGUGGCUUUGGAUGAUUUGGGUCAGGAUAUCAAUAUUUUUCAAAAUUGGAUUUGAAGACAGGAUAUCACCAGAUUU